AACCCAAUGUGAACCAUACCAAACUGUUGCCUCGGCGGGGUCACGCCCCGGGUGCGUCGCAGCCCCGGAACCAGGCGCCCGCCGGAGGGACCAACCAAACUCUUUCUGUAGUCCCCUCGCGGACGUUAUUUCUUACAGCUCUGAGCAAAAAUUCAAAAUGAAUCAAAACUUUCAACAACGGAUCUCUUGGUUCUGGCAUCGAUGAAGAACGCAGCGAAAUGCGAUAAGUAAUGUGAAUUGCAGAAUUCAGUGAAUCAUCGAAUCUUUGAACGCACAUUGCGCCCGCCAGUAUUCUGGCGGGCAUGCCUGUCCGAGCGUCAUUUCAACCCUCGAACCCCUCCGGGGGGUCGGCGUUGGGGAUCGGGAACCCCUAAGACGGGAUCCCGGCCCCGAAAUACAGUGGCGGUCUCGCCGCAGCCUCUCCUGCGCAGUAGUUUGCACAACUCGCACCGGGAGCGCGGCGCGUCCACGUCCGUAAAACACCCAACUUCUGAAAUGUUGACCUCGGAUCAGGUAGGAA
rnacentral:rRNA from 1 species